rnacentral:rRNA from 1 species
CCUACGGGAGGCAGCAGUGAGGAAUAUUGGUCAAUGGACGCAAGUCUGAACCAGCCAAGUAGCGUGCAGGAUGACGGCCCUCCGGGUUGUAAACUGCUUUUAGUUGGGAAUAAAAGGGGGCUCGUGAGCCCCGUAUUGUAUGUACCAUCAGAAAAAGGACCGGCUAAUUCCGUGCCAGCAGCCGCGGUAAUACGGAAGGUCCGGGCGUUAUCCGGGUUUCUUGGGUUUAAAGGGAGCGUAGGCCGGCUUUUAAGGCAGCUGUGAAAGUCCGCGGCGCAACCGUGGAAUGGCAGUUGAAACGGGAGGCGUUGAGUGCAGACAGGGAUGGCGGGA